rnacentral:rRNA from 1 species
UGGGGAAUUUUGGACAAUGGGCGAAAGCCUGAUCCAGCAAUGCCGCGUGUGUGAAGAAGGCCUUCGGGUUGUAAAGCACUUUUGUCCGGAAAGAAAUCCUUGGCUCUAAUACAGUNGGGGGAUGACGGUACCGGAAGAAUAAGCACCGGCUAACUACGUGCCAGCAGCCGCGGUAAUACGUAGGGUGCAAGCGUUAAUCGGAAUUACUGGGCGUAAAGCGUGCGCAGGCGGUUUGCUAAGACCGAUGUGAAAUCCCCGGGCUCAACCUGGGAACUGCAUUGGUGACUGGCAGGCUAGAGUAUGGCAGAGGGGGGUAGAAUUCCACGUGUAGCAGUGAAAUGCGUAGAGAUGUGGAGGAAUACCGAUGGCGAAGGCAGCCCCCUGGGCCAAUACUGACGCUCAUGCACGAAAGCGUGGGGGAGCAAACAGGAUUAGAUACCCUGGUAGUCCACGCCCUAAACGAUGUCAACUAGUUGUUGGGGAUUCAUUUCCUUAGUAACUAGCUAACGCGUGAAGUUGACCGCCUGGGGAGUACGGUCGCAAGAUUAAAACUUAAAUGAAUUG